CUUGCUCUUUCCGGAAUUGAGUGGCAAACGGGUGAGUAACACGUAAACAACCUGCCUUCAGGAUGGGGACAACAGACGGAAACGACUGCUAAUACCGAAUAAGUUCCAAGAGCCGCAUGGCCCAUGGAAGAAAAGGUGGCCUCUACCUGUAAGCUAUCGCCUGAAGAGGGGUUUGCGUCUGAUUAGCUGGUUGGAGGGGUAACGGCCCACCAAGGCGACGAUCAGUAGCCGGUCUGAGAGGAUGAACGGCCACACUGGAACUGAGACACGGUCCAGACUCCUACGGGAGGCAGCAGUGGGGAAUCUUCCGCAAUGGGCGAAAGCCUGACGGAGCAACGCCGCGUGAGUGAUGACGGCCUUCGGGUUGUAAAACUCUGUGAUCCGGGACGAAAAGGCAGAGUGCGAAGAACAAACUGCAUUGACGGUACCGGAAAAGCAAGCCACGGCUAACUACGUGCCAGCAGCCGCGGUAAUACGUAGGUGGCAAGCGUUGUCCGGAAUUAUUGGGCGUAAAGCGCGCGCAGGCGGCUUCCCAAGUCCCUCUUAAAAGUGCGGGGCUUAACCCCGUGAUGGGAAGGAAACUGGGAAGCUGGAGUAUCGGAGAGGAAAGUGGAAUUCCUAGUGUAGCGGUGAAAUGCGUAGAGAUUAGGAAGAACACCGGUGGCGAAGGCGACUUUCUGGACGAAAACUGACGCUGAGGCGCGAAAGCGUGGGGAGCAAACAGG
rnacentral:rRNA from 1 species